rnacentral:rRNA from 1 species
GGCGGACGGGUGAGUAACACGUGAGCAACCUGCCUAUCAGAGGGGGAUAACGAUUGGAAACGAUCGCUAAUACCGCAUGACAUAGCGGAAUCGCAUGGUUCUGUUAUCAAAGAUUUUAUCGCUGAUAGAUGGGCUCGCGUCCGAUUAGAUAGUUGGUGGGGUAACGGCCUACCAAGUCGACGAUCGGUAGCCGGACUGAGAGGUCGAACGGCCACAUUGGGACUGAGACACGGCCCAGACUCCUACGGGAGGCAGCAGUGGGGGAUAUUGCACAAUGGGGGAAACCCUGAUGCAGCGACGCCGCGUGAGGGAAGACGGUCCUCUGGAUUGUAAACCUCUGUCUUCGGGGACGAAACGAGA